GAUGAACGCUGGCGGCGUGCCUAAUACAUGCAAGUCGAGCGAACAGACGAGGAGCUUGCUCCUCUGACGUUAGCGGCGGACGGGUGAGUAACACGUGGAUAACCUACCUAUAAGACUGGGAUAACUUCGGGAAACCGGAGCUAAUACCGGAUAAUAUAUUGAACCGCAUGGUUCAAUAGUGAAAGACGGUUUUGCUGUCACUUAUAGAUGGAUCCGCGCCGCAUUAGCUAGUUGGUAAGGUAACGGCUUACCAAGGCGACGAUGCGUAGCCGACCUGAGAGGGGGUUGGGCCAACCGGGAACUGAGAAACGGCCCAGACCCCUAGGGGAGGCAGCAGUGGGGAAUUUUCCGAAAGGGGCGAAAGCCUGACGGAGCAACGCCGGGGGAGGGAAGAAGGUCUUCGGAUCGAAAAACUCUUUUAUGAGGGAAAAAAAAAUGGGAAAGUAACUAUGCACGUUUUGACGGUACCUAAGCAGAAAGCCCCGGCUAACUACGU
rnacentral:rRNA from 1 species